rnacentral:rRNA from 1 species
UGCAGUCGAGUGCGCGCCUGUAGCAAUACAGGUGGCGCACGGCGCACGGGUGCGUAACACGUGGGUAAUCUGCCCUCUGAUGGGGAAUAACUCGCCGAAAGGCGAGCUAAUUCCGCAUAAUAUUCCGAAAAGUUCGCUUUUUGGACUGAAAGGCGUAAGUCGUCGGAGGAGGAGCCCGCGCACGAUUAGCUAGUUGGUAGGGUAAUGGCCUACCAAGGCUUUGAUCGUUAGCUGGUCUGAGAGGAUGGCCAGCCACACUGGAACUGAGACACGGUCCAGACUCCUACGGGAGGCAGCAGUGGGGAAUCUUGCACAAUGGGCGAAAGCCUGAUGCAGCGACGCCGCGUGGGGGAUGAAGCUUCUCGGAGUGUAAACCCCUUUCGAUCCGGACGAAUGCCUCGCAAGAGGAGUGACGGUACGGAUAUAAGAAGCCCCGGCUAACUACGUGCCAGCAGCCGCGGUAAUACGUAGGGGGCCAGCGUUGUUCGGAAUUACUGGGUGUAAAGGGUUCGUAGGCGGUGUGGCAAGUUGGGAGUGAAAUCUCUGGGCUCAACCCAGAGACGGCUUCCAAAACUGCCGUGCUUGAGUGUGAGAGAGGCUCGUGGAAUUGCAGGUGUAGCGGUGAAAUGCGUAGAUAUCUGCAGGAACACCCGUGGCGAAAGCGGCGAGCUGGAUCACUACUGACGCUGAAGAACGAAAGCUAGGGGAGCAAACAGGAUUAGAUACCCUGUAGUCCUAGCCCUAAACGAUCAGGACUUGGGGUGCCACCCGUUCGGGUGGCGUCCCGGAGCUAACGCGUUAAGUCCUGCACCUGGGGAGUACGGUCGCAAGACUGAAACUCAAAGGAAUGACGGGGGCCCGCACAGC